CGGCCGCAGAGAGCAGUGCCGGGAGGAGGAGCGAGGGGUCCCGGAGGGCGGCGAGCGGGCGGGCUAUGGGAGCCGUUCCCGGGUGGGCAGAGACACGCGUGGGUCGGCGCGGCUGAGGACAUGCCCAGACUCUGCUGCUGACCGGCUCCGGCUGGAACCCGGCUACUGAAGCCUCGGCGAGGUUAGCCAGAGGGGAUCCUCGCAGCGUUUGGAAAACGAAGCAGAAGCCAUUGAGUCAGCCGUGUGCCGGUUGGAAGAACCCACACCUGUGUUUUACAGCACUUUGGGUGGAAAUUGGAUGCCAAAAUGAAGCCAGACCGAGGAUCUACCAUUCCUGUUUCAGACGUGACGAACCGUCUCUGGGAAGACACCAGACUCUGAGGAAAAGAUGGACUUAUGGAGUAGGUGGUUAAGUCC
rnacentral:lncRNA from 1 species